ACAACAAAGCUACACUUCUGUAGCAAAACAGACUCACACAACUAACUAACCAAUAUUCGGAUCUGCUAACUCAUGAACAAAAUAAACAGCUGUAACAACUAUGAAAAUGUAAACAACAAAGAUCGGGCCCCGGUUCCGGACCCAGCGUACCCGCUCCACCAUGAGACGAUCACCUACACUCGUCUCCCUCAUUUUGGCCACUAAAUGGCCUACAUUAGCCAGUGUCGACCCUCAUGCCCACUCUCCCCAACAAUUUACUUUAGCCGGACAUGCUUUCUUUCAAUAACUAUUUAGAAUCUCAUGCAAGUGGAUAUUUCGUUAACUUCACAGAUAAAUAAGUAUUCAUGCACG